CCUCUGACACAUAUUCCUUCCGGCAGUUGCAAACCAAAAUUAACCGGAGAAGCAUUUUCAUGUACAGUCCAGCUGACAUAGCCUUUUUUGGUGAAUACACCACCACCAUGAGCCCAGUUGCAAAGGCAGUAAACAUAUUGCAAGGAGAAUCCAACAUUCAGAUGGGAUGGCUGCUCCCUAUAAUCAUGACCCUUGUGACCAAACUUGACUAAAUGAGAGCAUCGCUGAGAUUCUGCAAGCCGCUAGUUGAUGCCCUCCUAGAUGGUUAGAGGAAACGGUUUGGAGAUAUGACCUCUGAUCCUGAAUUAGUUGCAGCAGCCAUUCUUCAUCCGAAGUUUAAAACCUCCUGGACCAGUGAUGAAGAGGUCCUUAGGCUCGGCCACAGUUACAUUAAGAAGCAUCUUCCUGACCAUGAUGAGGGUGUUCGGUCUGCUGACAACUCCUUAACUACUUCUGAUGAAGAUGAUUUCUUCUCUAAUAUCAAGCAUACUGUACACAGACACAGAAAAUAACCAAACAGUUAGAUGCAUACCUAACAUGUGCAGCUGAAGGUGUAACUAUGUUGACCGCUUAUCCUGCUGUAUGUAAUCUAUCAUUUAAGCUAAACACAGCCCUGCCUGCCUCAGCAGCAUGUGAGAGGCUUUUUAAUACAGCUGGAUUGCAGCAAUCAGCCCAUGCAACUUUGAGAACUAGCUUCUGCUUAAGCUAAAUAAGGACUUUUUACGAAUUUGAGUAAUUUGACCA